AAGUCGUAACAAGGUUUCCGUAGGUGAACCUGCGGAAGGAUCAUUAACACGUAUCCAAACGUAAAAAACCCCCCGCGUGAACAUUCAAUCCUGCUCUUGUAACCCGCGUAGUUCGCAAUCUCUGGUAAAUCAUAGCCCGGAAAGUAGUUUUGAUUCAGAGACCUCUGGCUACGUGAGAACAUUGGAACAGUUACAAUCGAGCGGUAGUUUCAUAGGCAUUGUUUCCCCAAGCAGUUAGUGUCUGAAAGUGUCACUGAUUGUGCAAGGAUAGCGCUUCAACGAUUCCUGUAGACCGUACACUCGGGCAGGAGCUAUGCCAAAGGGUCCCCAUGCCCCCUUAUAACCCCACAGUUUAAUGUGAAGCUCAAUGUAAUACAUUGGGUAAAAAAACCGAACAACUGUUAACAAUGGAUAUCUUGGUUCUC
rnacentral:misc_RNA from 1 species